UACGUAGGGUGCAAGCGUUAAUCGGAAUUACUGGGCGUAAAGCGUGCGCAGGCGGCUUUGCAAGACAGAUGUGAAAUCCCCGGGCUUAACCUGGGAACUGCAUUUGUGACUGCAUGGCUGGAGUGCGGCAGAGGGGGAUGGAAUUCCGCGUGUAGCAGUGAAAUGCGUAGAUAUCAAGCGGAACACCAGUGGCGAAGGCGAGUCCCUGGACAACUCCUGACACUGAGGCACGAAAGCUAGGGGAGCAAACAGG
rnacentral:rRNA from 1 species